UUAUGAGAGUUUGAUCCUGGCUCAGGAUGAACGCUGGCGGCAUGCCUAAUACAUGCAAGUCGAACGAGGUUGUAGCAAUACAACCUAGUGGCGAACGGGUGAGUAACACGUAGGCAACCUGCCUCCACCAUGGGGAUACCCGAUGGAAACGUCGGCUAAUACCGAAUGUGAGCUGCUAAGGACAUCCUUAGUAGAGAAAAGGAGCAAUCCGGGUGGAGAUGGACCUGCGGCGCAUUAGCUAGUAGGCGGGAUAAAAGCCCACCUAGGCAAUGAUGCGUAGCCGACCUGAGAGGGUGAACGGCCACAUUGGGACUGAGACACGGCCCAGACUCCUACGGGAGGCAGCAGUAGGGAAUUUUCGGCAAUGGGCGAAAGCCUGACCGAGCAAUGCCGCGUGAGUGAAGAAGGCCUUCGGGUUGUAAAGCUCUGUUAUAGGGGAAGAAAAGGUAGUAUAAGAUAUUACGUAUUGACGGUACCCUAUUAGAAAGCCAUGGCUAACUACGUGCCAGCAGCCGCGGUAAUACGUAGAUGGCAAGCGUUAUCCGGAAUUAUUGGGCGUAAAGAGUGAGUAGGCGGUUAAGCAAGUUCUUAGUUAAAACUUGUGGCUCAACCAUAAGUUGCAUAGAAAACUGCGUAACUAGAGUCAAAGAGAGGCCAGUAGAACUCCUAAUGUAGCGGUGGAAUGCGUAGAUAUUAGGAAGAAUACCAGUGGCGAAGGCGGCUGGCUAGCUUUGAACUGACGCUGAGUCACGAAAGCGUGGGGAGCAAAUAGGAUUAGAUACCCUAGUAGUCCACGCUGUAAACGAUGAGUAUUAAGUGUUGGAGAAAUUCAGUGCUGAAGUUAACAUAUUAAAUACUCCGCCUGAGGACUACGUUCGCAAGAAUGAAACUCAAAGGAAUUGACGGGACCCCGCACAAGCAGUGGAGCAUGUUGUUUAAUUCGAUGCAACGCGAAGAACCUUACCAGGACUUGACAUGAAGGUAAAGGCCCUAGAGAUAGGGAGAUAGUUAUAGCUUACACAGGUGGUGCAUGGUUGUCGUCAGCUCGUGUCGUGAGAUGUUGGGUUAAGUCCCGCAACGAGCGCAACCCUUGUCAUUAGUUGCUAACAUUAAGUUGAGGACUCUAAUGAGACUGCCGAUGAUGAAUCGGAGGAAGGUGGGGAUGACGUCAAAUCAUCAUGCCCCUUACGUCCUGGGCUACAAACGUGCUACAAUGGCCGGUACAAAGAGAUGCAAUAUCGUGAGAUGGAGCCAAACUCAAAAAGCCGGUCUCAGUUCGGAUUGAAGUCUGCAACUCGACUUCAUGAAGCCGGAAUUGCUAGUAAUCGUAGAUCAGCAAUGCUACGGUGAAUACGUUCCCGGGGUUUGUACACACCGCCCGUCAAACCAUGAGAGCUGGUAAUACCCGAAGUCGUUAUCCUAACCGCAAGGAGGGAGGCGCCUAAGGUAGGACUGGUGAUUGGGGUUAAGUCGUAACAAGGUAUCCCUACGGGAACGUGGGGAUGGAUCACCUCCUUUCUAUGGAGA
rnacentral:rRNA from 1 species